CGGGGUGUGGCGCAGUCCGGUAGCGCGUCUGCUUUGGGAGCAGAAGGUCCCGGGUUCGAAUCCCGGCGCCCCGA
rnacentral:tRNA from 1 species